GACGAACGCUGGCGGCGUGCCUAAUACAUGCAAGUAGAACGCUGAAGGAGGAGCUUGCUCUUCUGGAUGAGUUGCGAACGGGUGAGUAACGCGUAGGUAACCUGCCUGGUAGCGGGGGAUAACUAUUGGAAACGAUAGCUAAUACCGCAUAACAGUAGAUGUUGCAUGACAUUUACUUAAAAGGUGCAAUUGCAUCACUACCAGAUGGACCUGCGUUGUAUUAGCUAGUUGGUGGGGUAACGGCUCACCAAGGCGACGAUACAUAGCCGACCUGAGAGGGUGAUCGGCCACACUGAGACUGAGACACGGCCCAGACUCCUACGGGAGGCAGCAGUAGGGAAUCUUCGGCAAUGGACGGAAGUCUGACCGAGCAACGCCGCGUGAGUGAAGAAGGUUGUCGGAUCGUAAAGCUCUGUUGUAAGAGAAGAACGAGUGUGAGAGUGGAAAGUUCACACUGUGACGGUAUCUUACCAGAAAGGGACGGCUAACUACGUG
rnacentral:rRNA from 1 species